AGGAUCGGGAGGGGACGGCCCCGGGACUGAACACGGUCAGACUCCUACGGGAGGCAGCAGUAGGGAAUAUGCUCAAGGGGGGAAACCCUGAAGCAGCAACCCGCGUGGAGGAUGAAGGUUUUAGGAUUGUAAACUCCUUUUGUUAGAGAAGAUUAUGACGGUAUCUAACGAAUAAGCACCGGCUAACUCCGUGCCAGCAGCCGCGGUAAUACGGAGGGUGCAAGCGUUACUCGGAAUCACUGGGCGUAAAGAGUGCGCAGGCGGGAUAGCAAGUCAGAUGUGAAAUGCUAUGGCUUAACCAUAGAACUGCAUUUGAAACUGUUAUUCUA
rnacentral:rRNA from 1 species